AUGGAUACUAGAUGCAGGAGGUAUUCACUCCUUCUGUGUCGCAGCUAACGCAAUAAGUAUCCCGCCUGGGGAGUACGAUCGCAAGAUUAAAACUCAAAGGAAUUGACGGGGACCCGCACAAGCAGCGGAGCAUGUGGUUUAAUUCGAAGCAACGCGAAAAACCUUACCAAGACUUGACAUCAGUAUGACUAUCAUAGAAAUAUGGUAUCUCGCAAGAGCAUACUGACAGGUGGUGCAUGGCUGUCGUCAG
rnacentral:rRNA from 1 species